GACGAACGCUGGCGGCGUGCUUAACACAUGCAAGUCGAACGGAAAGGCCCAGCUUGCUGGGUGCUCGAGUGGCGAACGGGUGAGUAACACGUGGGUGAUCUGCCCCUAACUUCGGGAUAAGCUUGGGAAACUGGGUCUAAUACCGGAUAGGACAAUCGUUUAGUGUCGGUUGUGGAAAGUUUUUUCGGUUAGGGAUGAGCCCGCGGCCUAUCAGCUUGUUGGUGGGGUAAUGGCCUACCAAGGCGUCGACGGGUAGCCGGCCUGAGAGGGUGGACGGCCACAUUGGGACUGAGAUACGGCCCAGACUCCUACGGGAGGCAGCAGUGGGGAAUAUUGCACAAUGGGCGGAAGCCUGAUGCAGCGACGCCGCGUGGGGGAUGACGGCCUUCGGGUUGUAAACCUCUUUCGACAGGGACGAAGCUUUGGUGACGGUACCUGUAUAAGAAGCACCGGCUAACUACGUG
rnacentral:rRNA from 1 species